rnacentral:rRNA from 1 species
ACAGAUGGGAGCUUGCUCCCUGAUGUUAGCGGCGGACGGGUGAGUAACACGUGGGUAACCUGCCUGUAAGACUGGGAUAACUCCGGGAAACCGGGGCUAAUACCGGAUGCUUGUUUGAACCGCAUGGUUCAAACAUAAAAGGUGGCUUCGGCUACCACUUACAGAUGGACCCGCGGCGCAUUAGCUAGUUGGUGAGGUAAUGGCUCACCAAGGCAACGAUGCGUAGCCGACCUGAGAGGGUGAUCGGCCACACUGGGACUGAGACACGGCCCAGACUCCUACGGGAGGCAGCAGUAGGGAAUCUUCCGCAAUGGACGAAAGUCUGACGGAGCAACGCCGCGUGAGUGAUGAAGGUUUUCGGAUCGUAAAGCUCUGUUGUUAGGGAAGAACAAGUGCCGUUCAAAUAGGGCGGCACCUUGACGGUACCUAACCAGAAAGCCACGGCUAACUACGUGCCAGCAGCCGCGGUAAUACGUAGGUGGCAAGCGUUGUCCGGAAUUAUUGGGCGUAAAGGGCUCGCAGGCGGUUUCUUAAGUCUGAUGUGAAAGCCCCCGGCUCAACCGGGGAGGGUCAUUGGAAACUGGGGAACUUGAGUGCAGAAGAGGAGAGUGGAAUUCCACGUGUAGCGGUGAAAUGCGUAGAGAUGUGGAGGAACACCAGUGGCGAAGGCGACUCUCUGGUCUGUAACUGACGCUAAGGAGCGAAAGCGUGGGGAGCGAACAGGAUUAGAUACCCUGGUAGUCCACGCCGUAAACGAUGAGUGCUAAGUGUUAGGGGGUUUCCGCCCCUUAAUGCUGCAGCUAACGCAUUAAGCACUCCGCCUGGGGAGUACGGUCGCAAGACUGAAACUCAAAGGAAUUGACGGGGGCCCGCACAACCGGUGGAACAUGUUGUUUAAUUCCAAGCAACGCGAAGAACCUUACCAGGUCUUGACGUCCUCUGACAAUCCUAGAAAUAGGACGUCCCCUUCGGGGGCGGAAUGACAAGUGGUGCAUGGUUGUCGUCACCUCGUGUCCUGAAAUGUUGGGUUAAGUCCCCCACCAACCCCAACCCUGGAUCUUAGUUGCCAACAUUCAAU